rnacentral:rRNA from 1 species
UACGUAGGGUGCAAGCGUUAAUCGGAAUUACUGGGCGUAAAGCGUGCGCAGGCGGUUAUGUAAGACAGAUGUGAAAUGCCCGGGCUUAACCUGGGAACUGCAUUUGUGACUGCAUGGCUAGAGUUUGGCAGAGGGGGUAGAAUUCCACGUGUAGCAGUGAAAUGCGUAGAUAUGUGGAGGAACACCGAUGGCGAAGGCAGCCCCCUGGGUCAAGACUGACGCUCAUGGCACGAAA